CCUGCUGGAAUGGAAGUGCAAUGGACAUUGGAUCUACACUUAGUGGGCCUUGCCUGUCUGCCUUUCCUAGAGACACUCUUACUGUGUAGGGGAGCAACCACUUCUAAAGAGGGAGCUUCUAGGCCAUAGUUGAGGGCAGGAGAAGAUGGGGGAAGGCAACCAGCCCCUCUUCCCUAAAAGACUAUACAGCUCAGUGAAGGAAGAGUUCCUGGGACCUUUGGGUGCUCAUGUACCUCAUCUUCACUAAGAAAGGCAGUUGGGCUUGCAUCCAGGGCAGUGGGUCUUCUGCAGUGAACUGGCUGCAUUGCGCUGGCCUUGGCCACAAGUGCAGAAGGUGAGGCUGAGCGAAGCAUCUUUGCUGAAGGCCUGCUUCCCCUCCUAUUGAAAUCAAGCUCCCCUGAAUGUCAGCAGAAGAAAAGUCAGACUGCCAAUCAGCUCACCCACCAUAAGAGG